GAUGAACGCUAGCGGCAGGCUUAAUACAUGCAAGUCGAACGGUGUCUUCGGACAUAGUGGCGCACGGGUGCGUAACACGUAUGCAACCUACCUUACAUUGGGGGAUAGCCUUUCGAAAGGGAGAUUAAUACCGCAUAAGACAGUAGCUGGGCAUCCAGCAGCUGUUAAAGAUUUAUCGAUGUAAGCUGGGCAUGCGUCCAAUUAGCUAGUUGGUGAGGUAACGGCUCACCAAGGCAAUGAUUGGUAGGGGAACUGAGAGGUCAAUCCCCCACACGGGCACUGAGAUACGGGCCAGACUCCUACGGGAGGCAGCAGUAGGGAAUAUUGGGCAAUGGACGCAAGUCUGACCCAGCCAUGCCGCGUGCAGGAUGAAGGCGUUAUGCGUUGUAAACUGCUUUUAUACAGGAAGAAACGACUCUUGCGAGAGGCAUUGACGGUACUGUAUGAAUAAGCACCGGCUAACUCCGUGCCAGCAGCCGCCGUAAGAC
rnacentral:rRNA from 1 species